CGGGGGAGGCCGGAUCCUGGGCUGUGUCCCAGCGCCCUGUGCUCCCGGGCCUGCGCUGUUGGAAUCACGCUCCCACCCCACAGCCCCCU
rfam:Canis lupus familiaris chromosome 25, whole genome shotgun sequence.